AGAUGCACUUACUAUGUAUGUUUGCUCUUACAUGUGUGAGAAGUACUCUGCAUGCAUUGAAUAUAAGAUGUGACAGUUCUUCACUCCUCAAUAAGUUUAAAAACUAAAUUAAAUGGAAACUAAUUAUUUUGUUCUGCAGAUGGUAGGAUGUGUACAAUGUACAAACAGGGCAACACAGUUGAUUGACAUGUAUCUGAAGAUGGUCCUCUCUUAUUUUGGCAACAAAGUGGUGCUCUGAAUUGAUGAGUGGAUGACCAACCGACUUUCUUACUGAUCAAUGGACCAGGGUUGUUGGGGUAGUGACAUGGAGUACAGUGCAAGACAAAGACGAACAAUUGUUCUCCGAAGACAUCAAGGAAUUGUCGGUGACGUCAACGUGGAUUUAAAGUUACAAGUUGAUAGUGUUGAUAUCCUGAGUACAGAUGAAAAAUUUUUUUAGUGUACUUUCUUGGGGGAGUUUUUGGUGAUGUCGACGUGGAUUGAAAGUUUCAAGCUCAUAGAGUUGGUGUUGUGAUUACAGUAUUGAGAACUUCAAGGAACAUAGACGUUAGUUUCCAGCCAGGAAGUCGAGAAAGAGUUGUAAAUUUACUCAGAUAGCUUUUGCACCGCUCGUACAUUAGAGUAGGAAACUGGUUUAGUACAUUAUG
rnacentral:lncRNA from 1 species